UAAGGAAUAUUGGUCAAUGGGCGCAAGCCUGAACCAGCCAUGCCGCGUGCAGGAAGACGGCCCUACGGGUUGUAAACUGCUUUUGUACCGGAAUAAACCCCAUUUCGUGAGAUGGGCUGAAUGUACGGUAAGAAUAAGGAUCGGCUAACUCCGUGCCAGCAGCCGCGGUAAUACGGAGGAUCCAAGCGUUAUCCGGAUUUAUUGGGUUUAAAGGGUGCGUAGGUGGCCUAUUAAGUCAGGGGUGAAAGCGGUAGCUUAACUAUCGCAGUGCCUUUGAUACUGAUGGGCUUGAAUACACUUGAGGUAGGCGGAAAUA
rnacentral:rRNA from 1 species